rnacentral:rRNA from 1 species
CUCAAAGGAAUUGACGGGGCCCGCACAAGCGGAGGAGCAUGUGGUUUAAUUCGAUGAUACGCGAGGAACCUUACCUGGGCUCGAACGUAAGAUGACUGUAGGUGAAAGCUUACAUCUCUUCGGAGCAUUUUACGAGGUGCUGCAUGGUUGUCGUCAGCUCGUGCCGUGAGGUGUCGGGUUAAGUCCCAUAACGAGCGCAACCCCUACCUUUAGUUGCCAUCAGGUUAAGCUGGGGACUCUAAAGGAACUGCCUACGCAAGUAGUGAGGAAGGCGGGGAUGACGUCAAAUCAGCACGGCCCUUACGUCCAGGGCUACACACGUGCUACAAUGGCCGAUACAGAGGGCAGCUACCUGGUGACAGGAUGCAAAUCUCCAAAGUCGGUCUCAGUUCGGAUCGGAGUCUGCAACCCGACUCCGUGAAGUUGGAUUCGCUAGUAAUCGCGCAUCAGCCAUGGCGCGGUGAAUACGUUCCCGGGCCUU